UCGUGCUAGACUGGGUGUUAGCGGUACCCUGUAGCCCGCAAUCCGCUAUAGCGGGGUUGAAUUCCUUCGCUUAGAGAUAGUAGCUUCAGAUUACGAUGGCGCAGUAUGCGGUGUUGAUGGUCAGGUCCUGCGCAACGGAUCCUUGCUGAACCCCGUCAGGACCGGAAGGUAGCAGCGGUAAGCGAUCAGGCCCGUGUGCCGCAGGGUUACCUGGCAGGAGCUAGCGCUGGGUCAUCGGACCUGCGGCGUAUCUUGAGGCAAGGUGCACGA
rnacentral:SRP_RNA from 1 species